rnacentral:lncRNA from 1 species
UUUUUUUUUUUUUUUUUUUUUUUUUGCUUUUUAGGGCCACAUUGGCAGCAGUUGGAAGUUUCCAGGCUAGCAGUUUAUUCAAAGUUACAGCUGCCAGCCUGCACCACAGUCACAGCGGCUUGGGAUCUGAGACACAUCUGUAGCCUACAACGCCAGAUCCUUAACUUGCUGAGCAAGGCCACGGAUAGAACCCGCAUCCUCAUGGAUACUAGUCAAGUUCUUAACCCAUUAAAUCACAACAGGAACUCCAGUAACAUUUAUUUCUUAAAGUUAGCAUGUGCAUAAUAGCCAAAAAACAAGCAAAUAGGAAGCAAAAAACACAGUUAUCCAUUAUCACAAGCAGUUUACAGUUUGAUGGGUCCUCCUAGGUCUUGUUUGUGUAUCUGCACAAUGAAACAUCCAUUUUUAUGUAAUUAAGAUCAUAGUUAUGUAUUCAUGCUUUUUCACACAUCAUGAAUAUUUACCAUUUCAAAGUCCCAAAGCUAUAUGCAUAUUUUAUGUUGAUAACUAAGAAUAUACUACACCAACUCAAUCUGGGAGGAAAAAAAAUGUAAUCUUGCCUUUCUUGGUGACAAAGAUUUCAUAAAAGACAAAAAUGGCAAUAGGCCUGUAGAUAAAGAUAUUGGUAAAGUUAUAAAAAUACUACAUUCCCUUAAUGUUCAAUUAAAAAUGACAUAUGGAGUUCUCUUGUGGCCUAGUGGUUAAGGAUUUAGCAUUGCACUGCUGUGGCUUGGAAUUGAUCCCUGCCUGGGAACUUCCACAUGCCGCAAGUACGGCCCUAAGAAAAAAAAAAGGCCAAAAGUCAGGAGUUUUCCAGUUUGGCUGGGUCAUGGAGUUCCUGCAGAAUGCAGGAGUGGGAGAGUGUAAAUAAGGGCCAGACUGAGAGGGCCUUGAACACUUUGCUAAUGAGUUGAGUCUUUGAUAACAGUGUAGAAUCCUCGGAAGUAUUUGUGUGUGUGUGCAAUAGGAGCUUUUUACUAUAGAAUCAGAGAAUACUGAGCUUUAAAAAGAGAUUUGGGGAGUUCCCAUUGUGGCACAGUGGGUUAAGAAUCUGACUGCAACAGCUUGGGUUGCUGCAGAGGCAUGGGUUUGAUCUCUGGCCCAGCACAGUGGGUUAAAGGAUCAGGCAUUGCUACAGCUGCAGCUUAGGUCACAGCUUCAGCUCAGAUUCAGCCUCUGGCUGCAGAAUUUCCUUAUGCCAUGGGUGUGGCUAUUAAAAAAAAAAAAAGAUUUUGGAGUUUAGCCAUUUCAUACCUACGUGAAGUAAGUGAAACCCAAGUGGUUAAAUACUUAAAUUGAUCUUCCUAGUUUUUAAUCACAUUAUAACUUUUUAAAACAAAACUAUGAACAAAGAUCAUUGUGAAUUUUAUGUAGUUUCAUGGACACUUAGACUUGGAGCCCUGAGACACAUUUUAGAAAUCAGCAAAAACCAAGUGAGAUGGAAAAAGAAAAAGGUGAACAAAAUAUGAGAACAUAAAAAGGAAUCAGAAGGCAAAAUUAGACACUAAAACCCUGGCCAACAAUGGUGACCAAAGAGAAGGAAAAAUAAAGAGAUGCAGAGACAGCUUUACCAAGAAACGUGCUUCAUCUUCGUAAUACUUAUUAGAAAUCUCUCCAUCUCAGUUUUUUCAAGUGUCUUGGGUAGGAGAGUCUUAAGCGUGAAAAUAGUCACUGCCUUCACUCAUUUUAGUACUUCCAUAAAAAGGAGAACAGCACAGUCUAUAAAUUGCUGUGGUGUUUUUAGGUCUCUUUGGACCAACAUCCAGACUUCCGUGCCAGCCACCUUAGCCUUUGAGGAAGCCUCUGUUUCUUGGUGCAUGCUUGUAUUGCAGUCACCUGGGCUGUUGGAGGUGCAGUUGCUUAUGCCCCCAUGCCUUAUUGACUAAAUCACUGGUUGGGUUACUUAGAGCGACCUGAUGAUUCAAAGAUUUAAAACAGUGUAGAACAAGCCGACUUCUGCCCCUGUUGUUGCCAUUUCCCUUAGGUGGAUGUUGAUUACUGCUUCUGACCCUGGGAACAGAGUGGAGGUAGCUGACAGUUGGAAUCUCAGGAGACUGCUGAAGAGGGACCCUGAAGGCUGAGAAGACUGGGUCCUAACGGAAUCUAGGGUUGCGCAGCAUCGGGUGAGAGUGGCCAGGUGUCCUCAAUGGAGGAGAAAUAUAUGAGCCCAGACUCUGUGGCUAUUGGACACCACAGGUUAUGAGCCCUCGUGGAUAUGCCUGCCUGAUCCGAUAAGAGGAAGCCUCUGAGCACGCGGACGCGGGGCCGGGUGCCAGACCAACUGCUGAGAUGACGGGUGCUCCUGAUUUUCCAGAGAGGCGGCCGGGGAGCCGGCCGGCACGCGUCCCAGCAUUGUGACGUAUUUCCGGUUCCUCGUGCGCGCUGUGCCCGAAAGAGCGUUUUUCAGUUGUUGCUUCCGGAGCCUUAGCAGGUGCUGGUGGGAGCUUGGCUCCUUCUCCCCGCGCAGGGUACUUUAUACCUCUGCAGAGAUCUUGGGACUGGAGGCGGGGAUGUGGACCCCUUUUUCUCAGGCCUCGCUUGGGUUCCUCUCUCUUGCCUUUACAUAGACCCCUCAGCAUUCGACUUUCCGUGUCGGCGCUUCCGGGCGUUUCGGAGAUACAGAGAAGUAGAGGUGGGUCUCUACGGAUUACCUGUUUCUCAGGUGAAGACAGAUUUACCAGUGAGGAGCCCCUCUCCAGGGUCCGUUGGCUGACGGAUCCUUAAGGCUAAAGUACGGUUUAUUAUACCUUUUCUGAAUUAGCAUGAGUAGUUUUUUAGCUUUAAUUAAAAUCCCUUAUAUAAUAAUGGUCAUAUUUGUAUCAUAGAGGCUCAGCUCUUUAAAAACAUACUAUAACGUGAUCCUCACAGUUCUGCAAAACAAAGGGAAGUACUCUGUGAAUUUCUGUGGCUAAGGAAACAGAUGCAGAAGCGCGGCAGAGGAAGUAGGGGAGGGUGGCCUCUCAUUACUGACAGGUAAAAGUAGAAGCCCAGGUUCCACCUUUGAUUUCCAUUGAACUCCUCACCGUCGGGUAGGGGUGGGAGUUCUGGCUUCCAGAAGAUCACCAUAGACACUGUGUGAGUGCUGACUUCUUACUGCUGAAUGAUGGUAAAAGUCCUGACUCCCCAACUGGCCCUUUUCUGACAUUGCCUCAUGGUCACCCUCCCCUACUUCCCCUGCCACAAUAAUUUAGAGGAAACCAGUUAAAACCUAAGGUUUAACUCCAGAGUCUCAUAAUACAGAAUAUCCUCAUUUCAAUUUAAAGAAAUAAUCAGAAUACCAAGAACCAGGAAGAUCUUAAACUGAAUGAAGAAAAUUAAAAGAUGCCAACACCAAGCUAACAGAGAUGUUAGAAGUAGUCUGACGAAGAUUUAAAGCAACAAUGAUUUAAAAAAAAAUGCUUCAAUGAGAAAUUGUGAACACAUAUAAAAGAAAUGAAAAUAUAGAAAGUCUCAGCAGGGAACUAGAAAGUCCUAGCCCCCCCCAAAAAAAA